rnacentral:rRNA from 1 species
GACGAACGCUGGCGGCAUGCCUAACACAUGCAAGUCGAACGAUGGUCUUCUGAUCAUAGGGUCCCACGGGUGCGUAACGCGUGGGAAUCUGCCCUUGGGUUCGGAAGAACAUUUGGAAACGACUGCUAAUACCGGAUGAUUUCGAUAAGACCAAAGAUUUAUGGCCCGAGGAUGAGACCGCGUCGGGUUAGCUAGUUGGUUGGGUACAGGCCUACCAAGGCGACGAUCCGUAGCUGGUCUGAGAGGAGGAUCAGCCACACUGGGACUGAGACACGGCCCAGACUCCUGCGGGAGGCAGCAGAGGGGAAUAUUGGACAAUGGGCGCAAGCCUGAUACAGCAAUGCCGCGUGAGUGAUGAAGGCGUUAGGGUUGUAAAGCUCUUUUACCCGGGAAGAUAAUGACUGUACCGGGAGAAUAAGCCCCGGCUAACUACGUG